GCUUGUCUCAAAGAUUAAGCCAUGCAUGUCUUAGUGUAAAUAACUCUUAUGAAACUGCGAAUGGCUCAUUAAAUCAGUUAUCAAAUACGUGAUGGUCGCCUACUACAUGGAUAACCGUGGUAAUUCUAGAGCUAAUACAUGCGAAAAGACGGGCCGCAAGGCUUGUUGUAUUUAUUAGAUAAAAAAUCAAUACCUGUUCUGCAGGUCCUAUUGGUGAGUCAUAAUAACUGUUCGAAUCGCAUGCUUCGGCAGGCGAUAGUUCAUUCAAAUUUCUGCCCUAUCAGCUUUCGACGGUAGUGUAGUGGACUACCGUGGCGUUAACGGGUAACGGAGAAUUAGGGUUCGAUUCCGGAGAGGGAGCCUGAGAAAUGGCUACCACAUCCAAGGAAGGCAGCAGG
rnacentral:rRNA from 1 species